GACGAACGCUGGCGGCGUGCCUAAUACAUGCAAGUAGAACGCUGAAGGAGGAGCUUGCUCUUCUGGAUGAGUUGCGAACGGGUGAGUAACGCGUAGGUAACCUGCCUGGUAGCGGGGGAUAACUAUUGGAAACGAUAGCUAAUACCGCAUAAGAGUAGAUGUUGCAUGACAUUUGCUUAAAAGGUGCAAUUGCAUCACUACCAGAUGGACCUGCGUUGUAUUAGCUAGUUGGUGGGGUAACGGCUCACCAAGGCGACGAUACAUAGCCUACCUGAGAGGGGGAUCGGCCAAACUGGGAAUGGAACCCGGGCCAAACUCCUUCGGGAGGCAGCAGUAGGGGAACUUCGGAAAUGGACGGAAGUCUGACCGAGCAACGCCGGGGGGGGGAAGAAGGUUCUCGGAUCGGAAAGCUCUGUUGUAAGAGAAGAACGAGUGUGAGAGUGGAAAGUUCACGCUGUGACGGUAUCUUACCAGAAAGGGACGGCUAACUACGUG
rnacentral:rRNA from 1 species